CCUACGGGAGGCAGCAGUGAGGAAUAUUGGUCAAUGGGCGCGAGCCUGAACCAGCCAAGUCGCGUGAGGGAUGAAGGUUCUAUGGAUCGUAAACCUCAUUUAUAAGGGAAUAAAGUGUGGGACGUGUCCUAUUUUGUAUGUACCUUAUGAAGAAGGAUCGGCUAACUCCGUGCAAGCAGCCGCGGUAAUACGGAGGAUCCGAGCGUUAUCCGGAUUUAUUGGGUUUAAAGGGUGCGUAGGCGGCCUUUUAAGUCAGCGGUGAAAGUCUGUGGCUCAACCAUAGAAUUGCCGUUGAAACUGGGGGGCUUGAGUAUGUUAGAGGCAGGCGGAAUGCGUGGUGUAGCGGUGAAAUGCAUAGAUAUCACGCAGAACCCCGAUUGCGAAGGCAGCAUGCCGGGCCGUAACUGACGCUGAUGCACGAAAGCGUGGGGAUCAAACAGGAUUAGAUACCCGGGUAGUC
rnacentral:rRNA from 1 species